UACGAAGGGGGCAAGCGUUGUUCGGAAUUACUGGGCGUAAAGGGCGCGUAGGCGGUUUAUCAAGUCAGGCGUGAAAUUCCCGGGCUCAACCUGGGGGCUGCGCUUGAUACUGAUUGGCUUGAAUGCGGGAGAGGAUAGUGGAAUUCCCAGUGUAGAGGUGAAAUUCGUAGAUAUUGGGAAGAACACCGGUGGCGAAGGCGGCUAUCUGGCCCGUAAUUGACGCUGAGGCGCGAAAGCGUGGGGAGCAAACAGG
rnacentral:rRNA from 1 species